GAUGAACGCUGGCGGCAUGCCUAAUACAUGCAAGUCGAACGAGAGGAAGGAAAGCUUGCUUUCCUGAAUCUAGUGGCGAACGGGUGAGUAACACGUAGGUAACCUGCCCAUGUGCCCGGGAUAACUUCUGGAACAGGAUGCUAAAACCGGAUAGGUAGCAGACAAGCAUUUGACUGCUAUUAAUGUGGCCUUGGCCAUGAACAGGGAUGGACCUGCGGUGCAUUAGCUAGUUGGUGAGGUAACGGCCCACCAAGGCGACGAUGGAUAGCCGGCCUGAGAGGGCGGACGGCCACAUUGGGGCUGAGACACGGCCCAAACUCCUACGGGAGGCAGCAGUAGGGAAUUUUCGUCAAUGGGGGGGAACCCUGAACGAGCAAUGCCGCGUGAGUGAGGAAGGUCUUCGGAUCGUAAAGCUCUGUUGUAAGAGAAAAACGGCACUCAUAGGGAAUGAUGAGUGAGUGAUGGUAUCUUACCAGAAAGUCACGGCUAACUACGUGCCAGCCGCCGCAGUAAAAC
rnacentral:rRNA from 1 species